CCUAAACAAAGUAGGGGACCAAUACGUCCUGACACUUCGGCAAUCCAAAACAAAUCAAACAGGGCCACCUGUCGACAUACCUAUGUACCCACACCCCACAGGCAAUAAAUGGUGCAGGUGCAGUUAUUUGACCAGCUUUACUGGAAACUAAGAGUUCAAAGCAAAAACGCCCCCUUCCAAGCCUCCAUGGUAACCCCCUAACAACAUCCAAAUUCAUGG